rnacentral:ncRNA from 15 species
UAGUGCAAUAUUGCUUAUAGGGUUU